UACGGAGGGUGCAAGCGUUAUCCGGAUUUACUGGGUUUAAAGGGUGCGCAGGCGGAUAUGUAAGUCAGUGGUGAAAUCUCUGGGCUUAACCCGGAAAUUGCCAUUGAUACUAUAUAUCUUGAAUGCUGUGGAGGUAAGCGGAAUAUGUCAUGUAGCGGUGAAAUGCUUAGAUAUGACACAGAACACCGAUUGCGAAGGCAGCUCACUAAGCUGUAACUGACACUGAGGCACGAAAGUGUGGGUAGCAAACAGG
rnacentral:rRNA from 1 species